CCUACGUGUGGCAGCAGUGGGGAAUAUUGCGCAAUGGGCGAAAGCCUGACGCAGCGACGCCGCGUGAGGGAUGAAGGUCUUCGGAUCGUAAACCUCUGUCAGCAGGGAAGAACGGUCACUGUGCUAAUCAGCAGUGAAUUGACGGUACCUGCAAAGGAAGCACCGGAGAACUCCGUGCCAGCAGCCGCGGUAAUACGGAGGGUGCGAGCGUUAAUCGGAAUUACUGGGCGUAAGGCGCUCGUAGGCGGUAUGUCAAGUCAAGGGUGAAAUCCCCGCGCUCAACGUGGGAACUGCCUUUGAAACUGGCAAACUGGAGUGUGUGAGAGGAUAGUGGAAGUCCAGGUGUAGGAGUGAAAUCCGUAGAUAUCUGGAGGAACAUCAGUGGCGAAGGCGACUAUCUGGCACAUAACUGACGCUGAGGAGCGAAAGCGUGGGUAGCAAACAGGAUUAGAUACCCUGGUAGUC
rnacentral:rRNA from 1 species